UUCGCAAUGCCCGAAAGGGUGACGAAGCGACGCCGCGUGGGUGAGGAAGGCCUUCGGGUUGUAAAGCCCUGUCAGGAGUUAAGAAAUGUAAGUGCGCUAAUAUCGCAUUUAUUUGACGAAGGCUCCAAAGGAAGUCACGGCUAACUCUGUGCCAGCAGCCGCGGUAAUACAGAGGUGGCAAGCGUUGUUCGGAAUUAUUGGGCGUAAAGAGCACGUAGGUGGGUUUGUAAGUCAGAUGUGAAAGCCUUCUGUUCAACGGAAGAAUUGCAUCUGAAACUGCAAGUCUUGAGUGUAGGAGGGGAGAAUGGAACUUCUGGUGGAGCGGUGAAAUGCGUAGAUAUCAGAAGGAACGCCGGCGGCGAAAGCGAUUCUCCGGCCUAUUACUGACACUCAGUGUGCGAAAGCUAGGGGAGCAAACGGGAUUAGAUACCCCGGUAGUCCUAGCCGUAAACGAUGGGCACUAAGUAGAGGGGUUUU
rnacentral:rRNA from 1 species